GAUGAACGCUGGCGGCGUGCCUAAUACAUGCAAGUCGAGCGAACAGACGAGGAGCUUGCUCCUCUGACGUUAGCGGCGGACGGGUGGGUAACACGUGGAUAACCUACCUAUAAGACUGGGAUAACUUCGGGAAACCGGAGCUAAUACCGUAUAAUAUAUUGAACCGCAUGGUUAAAUAUUGAAAGACGGUUUUGCUGUCACUUAUAGAUGGAUCCGCGCCGCAUUAGCUAGUUGGUAAGGUAACGGCUUACCAAGGCAACGAUGCGUAGCCGACCUGAGAGGGUGAUCGGCCACACUGGAACUGAGACACGGUCCAGACUCCUACGGGAGGCAGCAGUAGGGAAUCUUCCGCAAAGGGCGAAAGCUUGACGGAGCAACGCCGCGUGAGUGAUGAAGGUCUUCGGAUCGUAAAACUCUGUUAUUAGGGAAGAACAAAUGUGUAAGUAACUAUGCACGUCUUGACGGUACCUAAUCAGAAAGCCACGGCUAACUACGUG
rnacentral:rRNA from 1 species